rnacentral:rRNA from 1 species
CAGUAGCCGCGGUAAUACGAAGGGUGCAAGCGUUACUCGGAAUUACUGGGCGUAAAGCGUGCGUAGGUGGUGGUUUAAGUCCGUUGUGAAAGCCCCGGGCUCAACCUGGGAAUUGCAGUGGAUACUGGGUCACUAGAGUGUGGUAGAGGAUAGUGGAAUUUCCGGUGUAGCAGUGAAAUGCGUAGAGAUCGGAAGGAACAUCUGUGGCGAAGGCGACUAUCUGGGCCAACACUGACACUGAGGCACGAAAGCGUGGGGAGCAAACAGGAUUAGAUACCCCCGUAGUCCCUGUCUCUUAUAC